rnacentral:lncRNA from 1 species
GAGUUAUUAAUGUUUUCCUGUCGUUUGCUGUGACUUCUACGAUCUAUUGCGGUUUUCUUAAUAUAUACUGUUUAUUCUAACUGUUAUGUGACGGAUGUAUGGUUUUGUCUGAAGACAAUUUCUGAACAUUCUUAUUAAACGUUCUGUGGUGCUAAGCUUUUUUCUUCAACACCAAGGGGCUGAAUCCCCUAUGGCACCCUAUUCCCUAUAUAGGGCACUACUUUGAUCACUACUAGAUCCCUGGUUAAAGGUUUUUGUAUGUUAACUAGACAAGUCAGUUAAGGAAAAAUUCUUAUUUUCAACGACGGCCUAGGAACAGCGGGUUAAACUGCCUUGUUCAGGGGGGGGGCAGAACGACAGAUUUUUGUUGUACCUUGUCAGCUCAGGGAUUUGAUUUUGCAACCUUUGCGGUUACUAGUCCAACGCUCUAACCACUGGGCUACCCUGCCGCCCCAAGGUAGUGCACUAUAUAGGCAAUAGGGUGCCAUAGGGCACAGAACCUUGGAGAUGGACCUCCAAGACUGCCUUAAAAUCUUACAACAAGUUACACGGUAGCAUGGCGGGACAUGAUUUUACCAUCGUCAGUAGUACAAUCCAACACCUCUGUCCCUUUAAACCCCACCAAAUACACACUGCCGCCUUACGAAAGCUUCUGCUGAACUGCAUCAGUGAAACUAUAGUAUCUAAUCUAGUUCUCUGGAUAAGAGCGUCUGCUAAAAUGUUUCAAACCCCUGUGAUGUGAUGAUCGUUGUACUGUUGUAAUUAUGUUUAUUCUCCUCUCUGCUAAUCUCAGUUUAGAGUGUCAGUGUAUGUUUUUUGUUGAAAGGAAACAUGAGGUGUGAUUACAGGUAAAUGAUGUUUUAUUGUCAAGGGCCUACUGUACUGAGUCUAUUCUGGGACCCAAAUGGCACUCUAUUCCCUAUAUAGUGGACUAUUACCUAAUCUGGAAAAUUUGACCUUAGGCAACACAGAGACUAGGGUCUGUUUUCAAUGAUAGACUUACGUCAAUUAAUGUCUACGUCAAUGGGGGGGGGACUUUUGACCAGAGCCCUACUGUGUUUGGCUAGUAAAUAAGUCUUGAAAACUUGACCCUAGGCAACACAGGGACUUGGGUCUGGCUUCAAUUAUGGAUUAUUUUGGCAUUGAGGAACUACAUCACUGGAGGGGGGGAUUUCUGGGGACCAAUCAAAUCACAAGGCUGACAUGAGUCUAGAGCGUCUCGAUUCGAAACCAAAGUUUGCAGCGGUUUUAUCGAAGGGUAGUUGAUGCAAACUAGCCACUUGUGAAAUGCACCCGUUAAAAAUAACCUACAAGUCCUCCAUCUUUGCUAGUUCUGAUUUAUAUUUUAGUCAAGAGUAGUGACGUAGGUAGUGACGUAGUGCCUCUAUGCUACGUAGGUAGUGACGUAGUGCCUCUAUGCUACGUAGGUAGUGACGUAGUGCCUCUAUGCUACGUAGGUAGUGACGUAGUGCCUCUAUGCUACGUAGGUAGUGACGUAGUGCCUCUAUGCUACGUAGGUAGUGACAUAGUUCCUCUAUGCUACGUAGGUAGUGACAUAGUUCCUCUAUGCUACGUAGGUAGUGACUUAGGUCCUCUAUGCUACGUAGGUAGUGACAUAGGUCCUCUAUGCUACGUAGGUAGUGACAUAGGUCUUCUAUGCUACGUAGGUAGUGACAUAG